AGUGAACGCUGGCGGUAGGCCUAACACAUGCAAGUCGAACGGCAGCACAGUAAGAGCUUGCUCUUACGGGUGGCGAGUGGCGGACGGGUGAGGAAUACAUCGGAAUCUACUUUUUCGUGGGGGAUAACGUAGGGAAACUUACGCUAAUACCGCAUACGACCUACGGGUGAAAGCAGGGGAUCUUCGGACCUUGCGCGAUUGAAUGAGCCGAUGUCGGAUUAGCUAGUUGGCGGGGUAAAGGCCCACCAAGGCGACGAUCCGUAGCUGGUCUGAGAGGAUGAUCAGCCACACUGGAACUGAGACACGGUCCAGACUCCUACGGGAGGCAGCAGUGGGGAAUAGUGGACAAUGGGAGCAAGCCUGAUCCAGCCAUACCGCGUGGGUGAAGAAGGCCUUCGGGUUGUAAAGCCCUUUUGUUGGGAAAGAAAAGCAGCAGGUUAAUACCCCGCUGUUCUGACGGUACCCAAAGAAUAAGCACCGGCUAACUU
rnacentral:rRNA from 1 species